UCAACCCCAUCUGAUCAGUUGGUAUGUGGGGGGCAGUGGCUGAAAGGUGCAUAAAUGUGGGCUGGACAGUGGUCAAGGGAGCAACCUGGGGGGAGCAACCUGGGAGAAGAACCUGGGAGGAGCACCUGGGGACUGGAUCAGAAGUGACUGGGCAAGAUGUGAGACAGACCGGAGAGAGAAGGCCAUGGCAAGGAAUCAGACCACCAUGUUCUUUGUUCAUCGGAUAAACAAGGAUUCAGGAUUAUGUAAAGGAGAAUUCCGUGCCUUACCGUGUCCUGUGGAAAAAAAAAAAAAAAUUAUAGAGGACCUUAUGUAUUUGUUUUUUUUUUUCCUUUUUACACAGAAGGAGAAGUCUCUAAAUUGGUAUGGUACAGUCAGGUUAUACAAAUUCAAAAACAUUUUUUGGUUUUUAAUAGUUAGAAUGACCUGCACUGUGAGGGAGUAAAAUGGUUGCUGCUUUAGUUUAGCAGGAGAGUAAAAAUCACUGAGGCACAAUUUGAAUUUUAUUUUUGAUAUGAUUUGCCUGAGUCAGAUUUUGUUUUUUUUUACUCUUUGUAUUAGCAGCAACACGUUUGUGACAUUUUUACAUAGACUGCAUGUUGCUUGAUAACUUCAAUAUAUGUUAUGUGUUUCUGUAUCAAAGCAGUAUUCAGUCUAUAGUUUUUUUUUCUCUCCAAAGUUUGUCUUUUGUUGUUUUUAUCUUGAGUUUGAUGUGUGUGUAAAGUCUUCAAGGUGGGGUGUUUUAAAACCAAUUCACUUCACUAGUCUGCAUUAUAGUUACCAAUCUGGUUUCUAGUACUGGUUUCUAGUACUUUGUUUAUGUUUAUGGUCUGUCUGUCCAGAACAAAAAAAACAGCUAGGCCUAACAAUGAUGCUCCUUACCUCUAUGUUACUCUAUUUUAGAUGAUCAGGCAUGAAACUGAGGUGGAAAUACUGAGACAAAGAUGACAAACAACUCACUAGUGAUUUGGCUAAGAUAGUGCUGCACACUUUAGUGUAGUGUAUCUUUUUAAUUUCCUGAAGUCAGUAUUGGUUAUGGUCACACCUAUCCAUGAAUUGAGGUGCUAAUCCCAGCUAUGCUGAUUAAUAAAAUGUGCCACAGAGUUUCUCACACUACCCCACAAUAAUAAAGGAUUUUCCCUGUGUGGUCUCAUUUAUAUGGUAACCGUGGUAAGCAAAAUGUGUUGGGUGUUGCAAACACCACAGUGUAAAGGCCAUGGGUUACUGCAGAGGCCUAAAAUGGGAUCCAGCCCAGACAUGGGUGGAGCAGUGUCACGUGGGUAAGUGGUGUGUACAGCGCACAGACAAUACAGCAAAGUGAGCUGGAAACAAAGCCUCUAAAAGUGUGUGAGAUUUUCUAACUGGCAGAAGGGUUCAAAUUAUGAAUAUAAACUGUGAGUGUUUUUAUAAUUGGGUUAAAUAUUACCUCACAGUACCCUAAAACUUAAGCCUGUGUGAGUGUUAUAUAAUUUGGGUCUCAGUAAUCCUUUCACUUUCAGCACAAAUACAUAUUAUUCAUUAAUUGGUAUCCCUGAAUGUUAUACCUUUUUGUAUUUAGAGGGCUCUUUCCUUGUGAAGUCCUUCGCCCUCUAGGUGGGGAUUUGUAAGAAA